ACCAGCAGCCAUAUCACCCUGCAGCUCACAGCUGGCAGCCCCCUGGAGCUCAGCAGGGGUGAGCCUGGCCAGUAGCUGGAUGGGAGACUCCUGGGAAAAACUAAGGCUGCUGCUGGAA
rnacentral:rRNA from 1 species